rnacentral:rRNA from 1 species
CCUACGGGAGGCUGCAGUAGGGAAUCUUCCACAAUGGGCGAAAGCCUGAUGGAGCAACGCCGCGUGGGUGAAGAAGGUCUUCGGAUCGUAAAACCCUGUUGUUAGAGAAGAAAGUGCGUGAGAGUAACUGUUCACGUUUCGACGGUAUCUAACCAGAAAGCCACGGCUAACUACGUGCCAGCAGCCGCGGUAAUCCGUAGGUGGCAAGCGUUAUCCGGAUUUAUUUGGCGUAAAGGGAACGCAGGCGGUCUUUUAAGUCUGAUGUGAAAGCCUUCGGCUUAACCGGAGUAGUGCAUUGGAAACUGGGAGACUUGAGUGCAGAAGAGGAGAGUGGAACUCCAUGUGUAGCGGUGAAAUGCGUAGAUAUAUGGAAGAACACCAGUGGCGAAAGCGGCUCUCUGGUCUGUAACUGACGCUGAGGUUCGAAAGCGUGGGUAGCAAACAGGAUUAGAUACCCGAGUAGUC